rnacentral:tRNA from 1 species
CAGGGAGACAACAAAAUGUUUAAUAUUAUUAUUUUGUCACCUUAGGUCGAUCGGUAUCUCACGUUCUUAAUUUGUUAAGAAUUUCAUUUCCUAAGUUUUUCUAGGUCACACCCAUUAUUUUUCCUGGGCCAUUAGCUCAGGUGGUUAGAGCGCACCCCUGAUAAGGGUGAGGUCCCUGGUUCAAGUCCAGGAUGGCCCAUAUCUCUAUGUUGGGGGUAUAGCUCAGUUGGUAGAGCGCCUGCUUUGCAAGCAGGAUGUCAGCGGUUCGAGUCCGCUUACCUCCACUGAUUACCACCUCUUCCAUAACUGGUAGAAAGGAAAUGUUUUGAGUUGUGAUUAUUAUUCUGAACGAAUCUAGCUUCCUAAUGAAAUCAUUAAGAUGCUGGACUCAUUGAAUUAAUUUCAUUGUUUUCAGAGAACUUUGACAACUGCAUAGAUUUUUUUAAAGACAAUAAGCAUCUUUAAUGAUGCAGAUUUAUUAUUUGUGCGAAUGCAUUAAUAAUAAUUCUAUUAAGCUGAUGUUUCAAUUUUUGAAGUUAUU